rnacentral:misc_RNA from 1 species
UAAUCGGCUCGCGUGUUUGGAUCGGCCCCGGGGCAGAGGGCGCGAGUGUAGCACCUCGCGAAAGCUGCAAAGGGUCCCGUGACAAUUAGCCUUAAACGACUAAUCUGGCUUGGUACGCGCGCUACUUUCAAAGUCGAUCUCCCUCGUUCUCGCUUCGAUCGUACUCCAUUUCCUUUAUUUUUUUUUCUUUUUUUUUUUUUUUAAUUUUUAGAUUUUCAUUUGAUCGGAUCCUUCAUCGACGAAGCUUUUUAGUUAUUUUGUUUCAGCGCGUUCGAGACAGAUUCUCGCGACGGUUAAAAGCACACACACACACGCAGAUCCUGCGUGCACACGUGUGGUUAUUUGCGGGUCAUAUAACGCGCGAGGCUCGCCGCCAGAGCGCGUCACCCUUGUAAAAUAUAUCAUAUAUAUAUAUAGA